AGGGCUUCGGCCCCGGUACAGUGGCGCACGGGUGAGUAACACGUGGGUAAUCUUCCCUUUGGCGGGGGAUAACCUUCCGAAAGGAGGGCUAAUACCGCAUAAGACCACGCCCUCGAAAGAGGAAGCGGUCAAAGCAGGCCUCUAUUCAUAAGCUUGCACCAAAGGAUGAGUCCGCGGCCCAUCAGCUAGUUGGUAGGGUAAUGGCCUACCAAGGCAAAGACGGGUAGCUGGUCUGAGAGGAUGAUCAGCCACACUGGAACUGAGACACGGUCCAGACUCCUACGGGAGGCAGCAGUGGGGAAUCUUGCGCAAUGGACGAAAGUCUGACGCAGCGACGCCGCGUGGGUGAUGAAGGCCUUCGGG
rnacentral:rRNA from 1 species